rnacentral:misc_RNA from 1 species
UUAGUUGAGUUGAGUUGAGUAUUGGUUAUGAGAACCUGAAUUGUUCAACCAUAUGGGGAUAUUGGGCCUGGUUUUCAUUAACUUGAUGGAGAUAGAGGUUAACAACACUUAAAAUGUUUCAUUUCUUCUUAUUUUCUAAGAAGGCUGGAAACCAGUUUCUUUCUAAUGCUACCUGAUUUUUAAGGGACGUGUUAUUGUAUGAUUUUCUUCUCUUAGUAACUUAUGACUUGUCUGAACACUUGAGGUAGUGGAUGGGUGUUGGGAAAGAAAGUUUUGCUUGAUUUUGAGCUGUAGGACAAGAAUAUUCAUAAGGUUGAGUUCUUUGAUUUAGGCCUACUAGUUUAUGUCUGUUUAAGCUUUAUUAUGGCUAUUAAUUUGACCCCUUG